GGGAAUAGCCUUCCGAAAGGAAGAUUAAUACCGCAUAAGAUUGUAGCUUCGCAUGAAGUAGCAAUUAAAGGAGCAAUCCGCUAUAAGAUGGGCCCGCGGCGCAUUAGCUAGUUGGUAAGGUAACGGCUCACCAAGGCGACGAUGCGUAGCCGACCUGAGAGGGUGAUCGGCCACAUUGGGACUGAGACACGGCCCAGACG
rnacentral:rRNA from 1 species